AACGAACGCUGGCGGCAUGCCUAACACAUGCAAGUCGAACGAGACCUUCGGGUCUAGUGGCGCACGGGUGCGUAACGCGUGGGAACCUGCCCUUAGGUUCGGAAUAACUCCCCGAAAGGGGUGCUAAUACCGGAUAAUGUCCUCGGACCAAAGAUUUAUCGCCUUUGGAUGGGCCCGCGUUGGAUUAGCUAGUUGGUAGGGUAAAAGCCUACCACGGCGACGAUCCAUAGCUGGUCUGAGAGGAUGAUCAGCCACACUGGGACUGAGACACGGCCCAGACUCCUACGGGAGGCAGCAGUGGGGAAUAUUGGACAAUGGGCGAAAGCCUGAUCCAGCAAUGCCGCGUGAGUGAUGAAGGCCUUAGGGUUGUAAAGCUCUUUUACCCGGGAUGAUAAUGACAGUACCGGGAGAAUAAGCUCCGGCUAACUCCGUG
rnacentral:rRNA from 1 species